rnacentral:rRNA from 1 species
UACGUAGGGUGCGAGCGUUGUCCGGAAUUAUUGGGCGUAAAGAGCUCGUAGGCGGUUUGUCGCGUCUGCCGUGAAAGUCCGGGGCUCAACUCCGGAUCUGCGGUGGGUACGGGCAGACUAGAGUGAUGUAGGGGAGACUGGAAUUCCUGGUGUAGCGGUGAAAUGCGCAGAUAUCAGGAGGAACACCGGUGGCGAAGGCGGGUCUCUGGGCCGAUGACUGACGCUGGAGGAGCGAAAGCGUGGGAGCGAACAGG